rnacentral:tRNA from 1 species
GCUUGGGUAGCUCACCUGGUUAGAGCGUCCGCCUGAAGAGCGGAAGGUAGUCAGUUCAAGUCUGACCCCAAGCACAA